rnacentral:rRNA from 1 species
AUGAACGCUGGCGGCGUGCCUAAUACAUGCAAGUCGAGCGAACAGAUGAGGAGCUUGCUCCUCUGACGUUAGCGGCGGACGGGUGAGUAACACGUGGAUACCUACCUAUAAGACUGGGAUAACUUCGGGAAACCGGAGCUAAUACCGGAUAAUAUAUUGAACCGCAUGGUUCAAUAGUGAAAGACGGUUUUGCUGUCACUUAUAGAUGGAUCCGCGCCGCAUUAGCUAGUUGGUAAGGUAACGGCUUACCAAGGCAACGAUGCGUAGCCGACCUGAGAGGGUGAUCGGCCACACUGGAACUGAGACACGGUCCAGACUCCUACGGGAGGCAGCAGUAGGGAAUCUUCCGCAAUGGGCGAAAGCCUGACGGAGCAACGCCGCGUGAGUGAUGAAGGUCUUCGGAUCGUAAAACUCUGUUAUUAGGGAAGAACAAAUGUGUAAGUAACUAUGCACGUCUUGACGGUACCUAAUCAGAAAGCCACGGCUAACUACGUG